GAUGAACGCCGGCGGCGUGCCUAAUACAUGCAAGUCGAGCGAAUAGAUUAAGAGCUUGCUCUUAUGAAGUUAGCGGCGGACGGGUGAGUAACACGUGGGUAACCUGCCCAUAAGACUGGGAUAACUCCGGGAAACCGGUGCUAAUACCGGAUCACAUUUUGAACCGCAUGGUUCGAAAUUGACAGGCGGCUUCGGCUGUCACUUAUGGAUGGACCCGCGUCGCAUUAGCUAGUUGGUGAGGUAACGGCUCACCAAGGCAACGAUGCGUAGCCGACCUGAGAGGGUGAUCGGCCACACUGGGACUGAGACACGGCCCAGACUCCUACGGGAGGCAGCAGUAGGGAAUCUUCCGCAAUGGACGAAAGUCUGACGGAGCAACGCCGCGUGAGUGAUGAAGGCUUUCGGGUCGUAAAACUCUGUUGUUAGGGAAGAACAAGUGCUAGUUGAAUAAGCUGGCACCUUGACGGUACCUAACCAGAAAGCCACGGCUAACUACGUGCCAGCCGCCGCGGUAA
rnacentral:rRNA from 1 species